rnacentral:rRNA from 1 species
AUCGAACGCUGGCGGCAUGCCUAACACAUGCAAGUCGAACGAGUGGCGGACGGGUGAGUAAUGUCUGGGAAACUGCCUGAUGGAGGGGGAUAACUACUGGAAACGGUAGCUAAUACUGCAAACCAUCAGAUGUGCCCAGAUGGGAUUAGCUUGCUGGUGGGGUAACGGCGCACCAGGGCGACGAUCCCUAGCUGGUCUGAGAGGAUGACCGGCCACACUGUAACUGAGACACGGUCCAGACUCCUACGGGAGGCAGCAGUGGGGAAUAUUGCACAAUGGGCGCAAGCCGGAUGCAGCCAUGCCGCGUGUGUGAAGAAGGCCUUCGGGUUGUAAAGUACUUUCGGCGGGGAGGCGUUACCCGAAGAAGAAGCACCGGCUAACUCCGUGCCAGCAGCCGCGGUAAUAC